rnacentral:lncRNA from 1 species
CCCUCGUCCAUCCCGCGCUGCCGCUCACUAGCCACCAACCAGGCAGUGGCCGUCGCCGUCGCCCAUUGCCAUUACCGGCUAGCCUGGUAAUUUCUGAUGCAACCCUUCCCUCAGCUUUUCUCCCUCCGCACAGUGCUCGCUUCUCUCACAUUGUUCCGCUGAAUUGAUAUCGCUGCAGUUCGCUGUUGCUCUAGGUAUACGAUCAGGCUGGCUGUCUGUUACGGUACCGUUGAUCCCCUUAUCAACAUUGUCCUCUUGUUGAUCGAUUCCCUUAUUUCAGUUGUUAUAAAUAUUGAUGACUACCUAUGUAGCAGUGGUCUUUGAGCUCCUCGCAGCAAUUAUUGUCACUUGUGCCUAUGUUGUUUGAUCAUUGAUUUAUCUUAACAGCUUAAAACUAUAACAGUGAAUCCAACCGGCAAAUCAAUACAUAAGAUCUUGAAUAGUUUGCACAACUUUUUUUAUUUUAUGACUCACCGCAAAUUAUUUCCUUUG